UUUUUGGAAGUCAAACAACCUCUUCACAGGGCUUGCCUAAGACCAUCAGAAAACAUAGAUAUUUACAUUAUGAUUCAUAGCAGUAACAAAAUUACGGUUAUAAAGUAGUAAUGAAAUAACUUUAUGGUUGGGGAUCACCACGACAUGAGGAACUGUAUUAAAAGGCUGCAGCAUUAGGAAGGGUCUGGUCUGGAAGCUGGUACACAAAUGGCUUGCUUCCAUUUGGAGAAGCAAAUGUUUUCCUUUUUCAUAGCUAGAAUUAUUUGAUAACUUUUCCUAGCCAAUCCUAGCUGACAUUGUAGUUAGAUCGAAAUAACUAUAAUUAAAGCAUACAUUUGUAGAAAUGAAUAUAAAACUCUGUGAUGCUAGAGUUAUUAGAUGUCAGCUAGUAUAGAACCAUCAUUUUUAAGGCAUUGGGACCAGUCAGGCCAAUGGCUCAUCCAAGGUCACCAUUUCAUCUGAAGCUAUGAUAUUUUAGUUUAUGGAGGUGACCAGGGCUCAACACAGAGAGGUCCUGUGAAAUAAAAGAAUGUAUUCCUCAACUUUUCUAAGGAGGAGAGAUACAUCAUGUCUCACAGAGCCAAGGAGAAUAUUGGAGUUAGGCCAGGAGGCAUAAGUAAUGAAAUAGAGAAACUUGUGUCAGAUUCUUUAUUGGAGAUACUGGAAAAGAGGAAGGGCACAAUGCAGGGUUCAGUUAAGAUUUCCUAGACUGAAGAAGUCGAGCAGACUUUGUAUAUAUGGAUGGUCUUUAAGGAUCUAGCUUUAGGAAGAGUUAGGGCAAGGGAAAUACCAACAUGGUGUUUGAGAAUGAUAAAGGUUGGGUGCUGGGCUCAGUGAGAGUUGGUUAAGAAGCAGUUAGCCCCUCCCUGUGGUCAGGAUUUUAAGUAUGCCAGAAUACCAUAAUAUGCAGAAAACAAAAUACAGUUAGUAGAGUUAGCUAUUGCUCAACUGUCCAGAUGUUGAUUCAUUCUUCCUCUGGCAUCCCUGAGGGGUGGGACAAAUGGAAAUGCAUCAUUCUUGU
rnacentral:lncRNA from 1 species